AGGCAUCUGUGAAGGUGCUGCAUGGUUGUCGUCAGCUCGUGCCGUGAGGUGUCGGCUUAAGUGCCAUAACGAGCGCAACCCUUGUUGUCAGUUACUAACAGGUUCCGCUGAGGACUCUGACAAGACUGCCAUCGUAAGAUGUGAGAAAGGUGGGGAUGACGUCAAAUCAGCACGGCCCUUACGUCCGGGGCUACACACGUGUUACAAUGGGGGGUACAGAGGGCCGCUACCACGCGAGUGGAUGCCAAUCCCAAAAACCUCUCUCAGUUCGGACUGGAGUCUGCAACCCGACUCCACGAAGCUGGAUUCGCUAGUAAUCGCGCAUCAGCCACGGCGCGGUGAAUACGUUCCCGGGCCUUGUACACACCGCCCGUCAAGCCAUGGGAGCCGGGGGUACCUGAAGUGCGUAACCGCGAGGAGCGCCCUAGGGUAAAACUGGUGACUGGGGCUAAGUCGUAACAAGGUAGCCGUACCGGAAGGUGCGGCUGGAUCACCUC
rnacentral:rRNA from 1 species